UUGUUCUUUUGUUUAUCUGCUGAAAACACUUCACUGGAUAAAACACAUCAGGUAAGAUAACGUUACAUGUGUUGUGGAACAGAGGUAAGCUAGCUAGCUAGCGGGUAAGUUGAGCGUCAAGCUAGGUGACGUAAAUUGUGUGAGACGAGAGAUGUAAUUCACUGAGCGGUUUCACACCAAACUAAGUCGUCAUAUGACAAACCUACGGCUAACUGAGACUUUCUUCGGUUGAAAAAUUAUCUUUUAAAUUGACAGGCAUCAUGUUUGUAGAACGUACCGGGGAGAGCAGCAG